rnacentral:rRNA from 1 species
GACGAACGCUGGCGGUGUGCUUAACACAUGCAAGUCGAACGGAGUGGCGAACGGGUGAGUAACACGUGGGUGAUCUGCCUUGCACUUCGGGUUAAUCUUGGGACACUGGGUCUAAUACCGUAUCUUGCAAUAUGCGCUCUCGGCCUCUCAGCUUGUUGUUGGGGUAAUGGCCUACCAAGGCGUCGACGGGUAGCCGGCCUGAGCGGGUGUACGGGCACAUUGGGACAGAGGUACAGCCCGGACUCCUACGGGAGGCAGCAGUGGGGAAUAUUGCACAAUGGGCGGAAGCCUGAUGCAGCGACGCCGCGUGGGGGAUGAAGGCCUUCGGGUUUUAAACUCCUUUCGACAGGGACGCGGUACCUGUAUAAGAAGCACCGGCUAACUACGUGCCAGCAGCCGCGGUAAUUC